rnacentral:rRNA from 1 species
UACGAAGGGGACUAGCGUUGUUCGGAAUCACUGGGCGUAAAGGGCUCGUAGGCGGUUUGUCGCGUCGGGAGUGAAAACACCGGGCUUGACUCGGUGCUUGCUUUCGAUACGGGCAGACUAGAGGCAUGCAGGGGAGAACGGAAUUCCUGGUGUAGCGGUGAAAUGCGCAGAUAUCAGGAGGAACACCGGUGGCGAAGGCGGCCAUCUGGACCGCAACUGACGCUGAGGCGCGAAAGCGUGGGGAGCAAACAGG